UUAACAUCAAAUCAGGUAGCAAAA
rnacentral:rRNA from 2 species